rnacentral:rRNA from 1 species
GUCUACAGUCAUGCUACCCUGAACACGCCCGAUCCCAUCUGAUCUUGGAAGCUAAGCAGGGUCGGGCCUGCUUAGUACUUGGAUAGGAGACCACCUAGGAAGACCAGGUGCUGUAAGCG